rnacentral:rRNA from 1 species
GAUGAACGCUGGCGGCGUGCCUAAUACAUGCAAGUCGAGCGAACGGACGAGAAGCUUGCUUCUCUGAUGUUAGCGGCGGACGGGUGAGUAACACGUGGAUAACCUACCUAUAAGACUGGGAUAACUUCGGGAAACCGGAGCUAAUACCGGAUAAUAUUUUGAACCGCAUUGUUCAAAAGUGAAAGACGUUCUUGCUGUCACUUAUAGAUUGAUCCGCGCUGCAUUAGCUAGUUGGUAAGGUAACGGCUUACCAAGGCAACGAUGCAUAGCCGACCUGAGAGGGUGAUCUGCCACACUGGAACUGAGAAACGGUCCAGACUCCUACGGGAGGCAGCAGUAGGGAAUCUUCCGCAAUGGGCGAAAGCCUGACGGAGCAACGCCGCGUGAGUGAUGAAGGUCUUCGGAUCGUAAAACUAUGUUAUUAGGGAAGAACAUAUGUGUAAGUAACUGUGCACAUCUUGACGGUACCUAAUCAGAAAGCCACGGCUAACUACGUG